rnacentral:pre_miRNA from 1 species
CUAAUGGCUGCAAUCAACAUUCAUUGCUGUCGGUGGGUUUUCUUUUCUGUCAACUCACUGAUCAAUGAAUGCAAACUGCGGACCAGCC